AAAUGAAUUGACGGGGACCCGCACAAGCAGUGGAGCAUGUGGUUUAAUUCGAAGCAACGCGAAGAACCUUACCAGGUCUUGACAUCCCCCUGACCGGCGUAGAGAUACGCCUUUCCUUCGGGACAGGGGUGACAGGUGGUGCAUGGUUGUCGUCAGCUCGUGUCGUGAGAUGUUGGGUUAAGUCCCGCAACGAGCGCAACCCUUGAUUCUAGUUGCCAGCAUUGAGUUGGGCACUCUAGAGUGACUGCCGGUGACAAACCGGAGGAAGGCGGGGAUGACGUCAAAUCAUCAUGCCCCUUAUGACCUGGGCUACACACGUGCUACAAUGGCCGGUACAACGGGCAGCGAAGGAGCGAUCUGGAGCCAAUCCCUUUAAAGCCGGUCUCAGUUCGGAUUGCAGGCUGCAACUCGCCUGCAUGAAGCCGGAAUUGCUAGUAAUCGCGGAUCAGCAUGCCGCGGUGAAUACGUUCCCGGGUCUUGCACACACCGCCCGU
rnacentral:rRNA from 1 species